rnacentral:rRNA from 1 species
UACGGAGGGUGCAAGCGUUAUCCGGAUUCACUGGGUUUAAAGGGUGCGUAGGUGGGCAGGUAAGUCAGUGGUGAAAUCUCCAAGCUUAACUUGGAAACUGCCGUUGAUACUAUCUGUCUUGAAUAUUGUGGAGGUGAGCGGAAUAUGUCAUGUAGCGGUGAAAUGCUUAGAUAUGACAUAGAACACCAAUUGCGAAGGCAGCUCACUACACAAUCAUUGACUCUGAGGCACGAAAGCGUGGGGAGCAAACAGG